rnacentral:rRNA from 1 species
GACGUUAGCGGCGGACGGGUGAAGUAACACGGUGGUAACUACCUAUAAGACUGGGAUAACUUCGGGAAACCGGAGCUAAUACCGGAUAAUAUUUCGAACCGCAUGGUUCGAUAGUGAAAGGUGGUUUUGCUAUCACUUAUAGAUGGACCCGCGCCGUAUUAGCUAGUUGGUAAGGUAACGGCUUACCAAGGCGACGAUACGUAGCCGACCUGAGAGGGUGAUCGGCCACACUGGAACUGAGACACGGUCCAGACUCCUACGGGAGGCAGCAGCG